GUGGGCUGUAGCCCGGCCCAGGGCGCGGUGGGCGCCCAGGCGCUCCCACCCGGACCAGCGCAGGUCGGAGACCAGCGGAGGGCCAUGUGAGCGGGACGUAGUGGCGCUGCGCGGUGAAAACCCUGGUGCGGGUAUGCUGGUGUCAAGGGAGACGCAAGGGCUGGGCCUCAACCUCCUUGGCCUAGGCAGCUGGAAAGCAAGCCCCAGCGUCCCCUUUUAGACACGGGCUUGUCCUACCUGGAAGCUCUCUUGGCAUCCUCAGAAGUCAAUCAUCUUCCUGCAGAUGAACUUUCCAGCAAAGUCUGUCCAUGCUCCAUUUUCAAGACUUGGUCAGCAUAGCAAGUGUUGCCCUCUCAGAGGGCAGCUGUCCACGGUGAUGGAGCUCUGCCUGUGAUGCCGGCUGAUGGAGUGCCCUCCACACGUUCUCUCGUUUUGUUACCAUCCCCUUUUAAAGAUGUGGACACCGAGAUCAGUGAGGUAGAGCGACUUGUCAAGGUCACAUGGUUAGCAAGUAUCAGAGUCUGGACUUCAACCCAGAUCUAUCUGAUUCCAGAAUCUGCAUGCCCAACCUCUAUGUGCUGGGGCCUCUACAGCCCUGCCCAUGCCCCUGGAGCACUGAACAGGUCAAGUCUAUUCCUGAAAGAACUGCUCUGGGCCUGACACCUUCCCAGUUCAUCCAAACAUUCUGCCGAACUCAGGCUUGGACACUAUAAGGAAGAGGAGACCCCACUGGCCUAGCCCGGCCUUAUUUGUGGAAUAAUAUAGGAAAUCCAAGAUAGUGAGGAACUUCCAGAAACAGCAUUACCUCUGCCCCUAGCUUGACCGCACUGGAUAUACAGCCUCCUUGCUAUUGGCCCGGGCCUGUGACGCCCAUGUCGAAGAUGGAGAUGGAGACAGAGUCCUUCAUUGAUUUAGCAAACCCUACUGUGAACUAGUAAUAAAUAUGGUUUCCUGCACUCAUGUAACUUACGAUGCAGCAGAUGAAUAAUCAGAAGUAUGCAA